GAGUUUGAUCAUGGCUCAGGAUGAACGCCGGCGGUGUGCCUAAUACAUGCAAGUCGUACGCACUGGCCCAACUGAUUGAUGGUGCUUGCACCUGAUCGACGAUGGAUCACCAGUGAGUGGCGGAUGGGUGAGUAACACGUAGGUAACCUGCCCUGUACAGGGGGAUAACAAUCAGAAAUGACUGCUAAUACCGCAUAAGACCACAGCACCGCAUGGUGCAGGGGUAAAACUCCGGUGGUACAGGAUGGACCCGCGUCUGAUUAGCUGGUUGGUGAGGUAACGGCUCACCAAGGCGACGAUCAGUAGCCGGCUUGAGAGAGUGAACGGCCACAUUGGGACUGAGACACGGGCCCAAACUCCUACGGGAGGCAGCAGUGGGAAUAUUGCACAAUGGGGGAAACCCUGAUGCAGCAACGCCGCGUGAGUGAAGAAGUAUUUCGGUAUGUAAAGCUCUAUCAGCAGGGAAGAAAGUGACGGUACCUGACUAAGAAG
rnacentral:rRNA from 1 species